AGCCUUUCGAAUCCGUGCAGAGAUUUCGUCUGAUACCAACCCAUUAGGGUUAAUCAUACUUCCAAGUUAAGUGAAGUU
rnacentral:pre_miRNA from 1 species